UACGGAGGAUCCAAGCGUUAUCCGGAAUCAUUGGGUUUAAAGGGUCCGUAGGCGGGCAAUUAAGUCAGGGGUGAAAGUUUGCGGCUCAACCGUAAAAUUGCCUUUGAUACUGGUUGUCUUGAAUUAUUAUGAAGUGGUUAGAAUGAGUAGUGUAGCGGUGAAAUGCUUAGAUAUUACUCAGAAUACCAAUUGCGAAGGCAGAUCACUAAUAAUAUAUUGACGCUGAUGGACGAAAGCGUGGGGAGCGAACAGG
rnacentral:misc_RNA from 1 species